rnacentral:lncRNA from 1 species
AAUAAUAAUUGUAGGGAUGAUUUUGUGCUUUUGAGGAUAAGUUAGUGGAAUUUUUUGAAAGAAUUAAUAAAAGGGUGGUGGAGGUGGUGAAGCAUAUUGAACUCCUAUUACUGGUGGCAAUGGCCCUUCGUAUACUGGAGUAGGCGGUGGUGAUGGUGAUGGUGGGGGUGGAGAAUUGUAGUGAUAUACCGGUGGGGGAGGAGGUGAUGGAGAUGGUGGGGGCGGAGAAUUGUAAUGAUACAUUGGUGGUGGUGGAGGAGAUGGUGAAGGGGAAGGUGGUGGGGGUGGUUCAAUGCAU